rnacentral:rRNA from 2 species
UGGAAACAGAUGCUAAUACCGCAUAACAACUUGGACCGCAUGGUCCGAGUUUGAAAGAUGGCUUCGGCUAUCACUUUUGGAUGGUCCCGCGGCGUAUUAGCUAGAUGGUGAGGUAACGGCUCACCAUGGCAAUGAUACGUAGCCGACCUGAGAGGGUAAUCGGCCACAUUGGGACUGAGACACGGCCCAAACUCCUACGGGAGGCAGCAGUAGGGAAUCUUCCACAAUGGACGAAAGUCUGAUGGAGCAACGCCGCGUGAGUGAAGAAGGGUUUCGGCUCGUAAAACUCUGUUGUUAAAGAAGAACAUAUCUGAGAGUAACUGUUCAGGUAUUGACGGUAUUUAACCAGAAAGCCACGGCUAACUACGUGCCAGCAGCCGCGGUAAUACGUAGGUGGCAAGCGUUGUCCGGAUUUAUUGGGCGUAAAGCGAGCGCAGGCGGUUUUUUAAGUCUGAUGUGAAAGCCUUCGGCUCAACCGAAGAAGUGCAUCGGAAACUGGGAAACUUGAGUGCAGAAGAGGACAGUGGAACUCC